AAUGGUUCUGGCCUUGUGUAUGGAAAGGAGAAAUUCACGUGGUAUCAGAGAACUUUCUACAUGGACAUUGCAGAGCCUGUACGACUUGGAACUUGUCCUAACCCUUUGCUUAAGAGAACAACGCAAUCCUAAACCCACCUCCCUUGCAGAUUGGUGUAUCCAGACCUGAAUUCUGGCAAUAGAAUGCUGUUUGGAAAUAAAGUGUAACACUUCCUGGCAUGGCCCAUAAAAAUCUCACGAGUACACUAUUCUCUCAUCUUCUUCUGCUGGCUGACUGAAGAGGACUCCAGAGACCUAUGAAAAACACAAACUUGUGGACAGAAACCUGGAACAGAUCCUGUUGCCGUGCUUUGCCACCCCAAUCAGAUGUAAGCAAGAAAUAACAUUUAUUUGAAGAAGAGGAAUAAGUCACUUUCCAAUGUAUAAAAAAAUUCCAGAGCUUAGUUCAAAGCCAUUGGAUUUACCAAGGUAAACAACAUUUGAAUAGGAUGGUUACUUUAAAGAUGACAGUCACUCCCAGGAGGGAAAUAAUAUGUUGCAAGUUUGAAAGUAAAUGGAUUAUUUAAGGUGUCAUUUCAUGAAAAGGAAAUAAUGUCUUUGAUAUCCCAAGCACCAAGAGAGAAUUUAACACAGUAUGAUACACUAGAGAUAACAAAAAAAGAUAGUUUUAAGAAAAAAAUUUACAUUGUUUUCUUCUUCCAUCAUAGAAAGAAGAUUGGGUAUAUGAGACAAGUUGGGGGGUGGAAUUUAAGGAGGGAAAGAAAUGGAUACAAAUCAGAAGAUAUAAGGAGAAAUUAAUAAAGCCAAAUACAGAUUGUUAAAUGAUAGUGGAAAUAGGUCAUGUUUCACGUAACUAUAUUUUUUAAAAACUAUAGUCAUCAUGGAAUAUCCUACAUCCUGGUACUUGUUUAUCUUCUAAACAUACUGCCUAUUACAAUUAGAGUGCACUACUGGUGGGAAUGUAGUUUUACAGCCAUUGUGAAGAUUCCUCCAAAAAUUAAAACUAGAACUACCAUUUGAUUUGGAAAUCCCACUUUUGCACUGUCACUUCCAUGCUACCCUUACCUACCACACUACAGAGAACUGAACACUAGGCUUGCUCUUAAUGCAAAAGGCAUAGCUUUACAGUCAGAAUAGGAAUAGAGGACUUGCCUGACUAUUUUAUUUCUGGUAGGAAAGAGAUGGACUUUAGAUGAAGCAAAGCCAUGGGUUUGGGAAGUUGUUCCCUGGCCUUUAACUUGCUUGUAGCUAUCAACCUAUUUAGUUGUUGACUCAUUAGGUAACUUAGAAUAUAUUUUGCAAUGUUUUGUUCUUAGAAGAUUUACCAAGAAAUUACAUUUAUUAAAAUUAAACAUGCUAUUAUUGUUAUACUAAUGACAUUUUUAAAGACAAAGUGGGUAUUAGGUGAUUAUGACCUUAAAAAAAAUAUCCCUAGGGGUCCCACUGUGGUGUGGUGGGUUAAGAAUCUGACUGCAGUGGCUCAGGCUGCUGCGGAGGGGCAAGUUGGAUCCCUUGGCCUGGUUAAAAGGAUCUGGUUUUAUUGCAGCACUGGCAUAGGUGACAGCUGUGGUUUGGAUUCAACCCCUGGCCCAAGAACUUCCAUAUAUCACAGCCUUAAAAAAAGCAAUUUCUAAUACAACUGUGGAAAAAUUAAGAAUCAGUUUUCCUGAGGUGUGAAACUCAAACUCAGCCAGUGCUAUCGACCCUGAAAAUAUGUGAACUGAUUAAUGUGGCGUUUCUACAGAGUUUGCCUGGGAAGUGAUGAACAAGCCAGGGUGGUUGGCUUCCUCCUCCAAAUCAACCUUGGAGAAACUAUAGAAUCAUGAGGUAAAAAAGAAUUCAAGGAACUAACCACAAUGAAACUUCAUGAAGACAUCCUUGUGAGACUGAAGUCUGUGUUUGCUUCUAUGUAUAGAAGAGAAAUCUAUGAACCUACAAGCUGAAGUACUCAGGAAAUCCCUUUGGGAAUUGGACAUAAAUGAUAUUGUUGGAGAGUAUCAGAGACUGCUUGGGCAAAUGAACACGUGUGAAGUAUUCUUCAAAUAGAUCACAGAAAUUGCACAGAGGUUUGUUCCACAUACUUUACCAAUAAGGACCUCAAACUGCGGAGAACACAGAUAUUAUUUACUACAGAACCAGGAAGGAUUUUGAAGCCAUAGGAGGCAAUGUAAUCUCAUUUCAUGAAAUUUGGCUUCUUGCAUGAGAACUAUAAUUUUACAAUUUCGAAGUAUGGAAGUUAACAUUGAAUUAUAAUAAAUUUAAUUUUAUAAUUUUUGUCUGUCUUCUCACUAGGAUGAUUCAACUUUCUCACUAUCUUUUUGUUACAGGGGAUGUAUUCUCUUCUUCGUGACACUCAGUCUUCUCAGAGCUUAUGACAUUCAGGUCUACUUUGAACUGGGUGCCUCUCUAUCUGCUAUACACCUGUCCUAGAAUUUCACUGUAUUCUCUUGGAAAGAUGGCUCUGGUUUGCUGUUUUUGUGUCUCAAUUCCUGUUUUCCUCUUUCUUUGGUUUCUUUUUUAUUUUUGCUAGGAAACAUCUUGUAAUAGUUGUUUGAAGAAGUGUAUCUGAAUAGUGAGUUUUGAAUCUGUAAAAUUUGAAACUGUUUUUAUUUUGUUUUGAGUGGUAGUGUAGUUUGGUUCAAAUUUAUUUAUUUAUAUUGGCUCAAAGUUAUUUUUCCCUCAAAACUUUGAAGGCAUUUUCUCACAUUUUUUCUAGAAUCAACAUUGUUCACAAGAAGCCUCAUGCUAUCCCAAGUCUCCUCACUUUGAAAGUCAUCCCCUUUAUCCUUUUUGAAACUUGUUAAAUUUUUCUUUGUUUCUAGGGUUCUGAAAUUUCUAGCGGCUAUUCAUGAGAAAUAAUUUUUAAAGAUUUUUUUUAUUAGUAAACUUUCAUUUUUAGAAGAGUUUUAGAUUUUAGUUAUGAAACACUGAGCAGAUUGUACAGAGUUCCCAUAUAUCCCACUCUACCACUAUAUUUCCCCAUUUAAUAACAUAUUAGUAUAUUUCCUACAUUUUAUGAUUCAAUGUUGAUACAUUAUUAUUAACAAAAGUCAAUAGUUUAUUCCUCUCUCCCUUUUUCUUAUCAGAUGAUUUUUUUUUUUUUUCUGUCUUAGGAUCCCAUCUGUGUUACCAGAUUACAUUUGUCCUGUCUUAGGCUCCUCUUGGCUGUGACAGUUUCUCAAACUUUCUCUGUUUUUGAUGACCUUGGCUAUGUUUAGGAUUACUGGUCAGGUAUAUUGUAGGAUGCCCUGGGGCUGGAAUUGUUCUGAAGUUUUCCACAUGAUUAGGCUGGAGUUGUAGGUCUUCAGGAGGAAGAUCACAGAAGUGAAGUGUCAUUUCAUUACAUAUCCUACCAGGAGUGCACAGUGUCAGCAUGAUUUAUGACUGUGGAUGUAGACCUUGAUCACCUGGUUGAAAGAGUAUUUUUCUGGUUUCUCCCCUUUCAAGUUACUCUUUUUUUCCCCCCUUUCCAUCUCCUGCUCUUUACAAGGGGCAAGAAGUUACACUGCCCUUCCUUUAGGGUAAAAUAUCUAUAUAAAUUAAUUUAGAUUUUUUAUGCAAGGGCUGUUUAUCUCUUCUCCCUAGUUUAUUCAUUUAUUUAUUGUUUAUUUCUAUCGGUAUGGACUCAUGAUAUUUAUUUCAUACUCUGGGUUAUAAUUCAAUACUAUUUUAUUUAUUUAUUUACCCAAAUUGUCCCAGCUUUGGCCACUGCGAGCUCUUUCUGUAUCUGUUUGACAUACCCCUAGCAUUGUGCUUUGAUUUUUUUCCCCCUAGCAUUUCCUUAAAUACUUUGUCACUAUAAGAGCUCAUGUUGUAUAUUUCCUGCUCCAGUCCUAGGAUUACCAUUAAUGCAGGGAGUCCCAGUUCUUUAUACUGAAAAAUAGUUUUAGAAACCAAGAUCUGGGCUUUAGAUGUUCUUGUUGCUACUGGGACGGCAUUGCUUCUAGGCCCUCUCUGGGGACAGAGCCUAGAUAUAUAUGUGUAUAUAUGCUAACUCAUGCUCAUGCACACACACAUUUCUAUAUGUAACAGUUAAAUACGAGCUCUUAUUGAUGUCGCCAACUUGAAUACAAUACUGCAUGGGUAUUAUUGCUUCCUUCCUUGCUUAUCUGUGAGUUUCCACUCCAAUAGUGAGAAACCUGGCUUCCUGGCCACUGCCAUCCAUUUACCUGUUUCAUUCCAUUCUAUAUGUAUAUCAGCAUCAGAAUUAUUAACCUGUGCAUCAUGGAAACAGUUUUACUAGCUACAGUACAAGCUUAUAUGCAGUUCCUUUUGCCUUUGGUUUUAAAGAUUCCAUUCAUUUCCAAGGUUAGUUUUGUCAGUACUUUUUCUCUCAGCAUACUGUUGAGGUUGCUCGAAGCUCUUGUAACACAGUUAGGUUCUUUUGUCAAAUUCUGCAUCUCAUCCUGAAUUAUUCCUACUGAAAGAGGGAUGUUGAAGUUUCCAAAUAUAAUAGUGGACCUGUUUGUUUCUUUCUGCAGGUCCCAAUUUAUAUUUUCUUUUUAUUUAAAGCAUUUGUUCCAAGUGCACAAUAAAAGUGAAUUUCAUUGAAUCCCAAGUGACCAAUACAUAGUACACAAUUUAUCUUUUGUAGCUCUGUAAAUUGAGGAAUUUUAAUUUCAUAAUUGGUGGGGAUGCUUCAUUUAUAGAUCUGCAAAUCUGUUAGGAAGAAUAUUGUUCCUUCAGGAUAGAAUGGGAAACUGAGGCAUGUAGAAGUAAGAGUUAUUUAAGAGUUUAUUCAUGUAUAGACUCUGAUUACUAUAUUUGCAUCAUGUUAUGGUAAAUAACAAUAGACACCUCUAUUUCUGAACAAAUUGAUCUGAAUUUACCCUAAGUUACUCUUCCUUUUUUGAUUUCUUGAUGCCUGCCUGUCUUCCUUCCUUCCUACUGUAUCCACAGCAUAUGGAAGUUCCUGGGCCAGGGAUUGAAUCUGAGCUGCAGCUGUGACUUAUGCCACUGCUGUGGCAAUGCAGGAUCCUUUAACACACUGCGUCUGGCUGGGAAUCGAAUUUGCACCUCCACAGUGACCGGAACUGCUGCAGUUGUAUUCUUAACCCAUUGCGCCAUGGCAAGGUCUCCUUGGUUUUCUAAAAUUAAUAUUCUGUCAUUGAGCACAAGAAAAUUUUAAGUAUUUUGGCAUGGUGGGGAAAUAAAAGCUUUUGUUUUAAUUCAGAAUCGUUUUUCUUAGUUUUAAAGAGAACUUGUGAAGUCAAAGCAUAAUAGACUUGAAGUGGAACUAAAUAAAUACUAUUGAUUUAUUUUUAUAGUACCUAGCGUCUGCCAUGAAUAAUGACAACGUUUUUGAAUAAUAGAGGAUUUAGUGCUUAUGUCAUGUUGGCAGUGGAUAAAAGUGCUAAUGCUUAAUAAUUGCCUUUUUGUAAAUUUGGCCUUGAUAAUAAGACAUAUUUUUAAGAAAUACAUGGCUGGUCAUAUAAUUUUAUGUAAAAGUAGUUCAAUAAGAAACAAAAAAACAACUUUAGUGAGUCUGAGUUAAAGAACAUGACCCAGUAAAAGCUCCGAUGAGCAUGAACGAUAAUGGUGAAUGGCAUAGACUUCCUUCCCUCCCCCACCAUCCCUGCUGAGAAUCCUUAAAGCAUGUAUAAUAAGCUCAUACUCUUUAAAAAUUAGGUCUAUCCAAGCAUACUUACCCUUUGCAUAGAAAGAGGUAGUUCAAGGUUAUGCUAAAUAAAAUAUUACAUGUGCCACCUACGCAAAAAAUUGCCUAAGGCAAUACAUUUACUUGUCCAUCUGCCUCAUGUCCAGAUUUAGCACAAACGUGUCUUCUGAACUGGAUUAAAUUUUCAGAAAAAUCCCCCAAAGACCCUCAAAAGAUGGACUAUAGCAUCCAAGGAAUUUUUAAUUAGAAAUGUUGCCCAAAAAAAACAAAGACAUGUACCUCUUACCCAUCAUUAUUGACAAGAACAAGGUAAUAAAAAGACAUGUAUUUUCCAUACACAAUGGUUAAGAGUAUAAGAAGUAGGGAUUGGGGAUAGAGAGAAGAGGAAUAGCACCAAACAUUUUGAGUGUCUGCUCUAUUCCAGGUUCUUAAAAAAAUUGUAGCUUAUAAUAGUUAAGCCAUCAUUAUGUUAAAUGAUUUAUAUGGAUUAUUUCAUUUCAUUCCCCACAACAUAGCUACAAAGGAAGCGCUAUUAUUUGUCUUUUUUUUGUCUUUUUA